rnacentral:piRNA from 1 species
UAGUAAAACAGGAUGAUUUAGGUCA